AGCCGUUCCCUGAUCACCAUUCAUACUCUAGUAGAAAUUAUUAGGCGAGUUUCACGAGGCACAUCGAAUAUAUAUAAUUAAUAUUUUUCUUGUAUUUAAUUAAAUGUUAUAUUAAUAAAGCCAGUCCAUACCCUGUUCCUCCAUCGAUCAGAAGUAAUACUCUGAAUCUAAUGGCGAAGAAGGUGUUGAUGACAGCCAACGGCGACGAGGUUUCCCGGAACAUCGCUAUCCAACUAGCCAAACACGGUUGUCGGUUGGUGUUGAUGGGAAACGAGGCUUCUCUAAGGAGCACUGUGGACUACAUACGAGUCUCUGUUGAUGGAGCCUUCCCAGUGGAGCUCAUUGGAGCCGACAUGGAAGCUGAUAGUGAGGAAGCUUUCUAUGUUGCUGUCCAAAAGGCAUGGACUCGUCUAGGAUCUUUGGAUGCUUUUGUCAACUGCUGUACCUACCAAGGGAAGAUGCAGGACAUUCUCCGAGUGUCUGAAGAUGAGUUCAAGAAAAUCACAAAGAUCAAUCUCACGGCUCCAUGGUUUAUCUUGAAGGCUGUGGCAAGCAUGAUGAAGGAGAAUGGAACAGGAGGCUCCAUUGUCUUUUUGGCUACAAUAGCUAGUGGUGAGAGAGGGCUUUACCCUGGAGCUGAUGCCUAUGCUACAGCCGCUGCUGCAAUUCACCAGCUGGUUCGGGCAUCAGCCAUGAGUCUAGGGAAGCACAAGAUAAGGGUGAACAUGAUCUCGAGAGGUCUGCAUCUUGGCGAUGAAUAUCCAGUUUCAGUGGGGAUAGAUCGAGCGCAGAAGCUGGUGAAGGACGCUGCUCCUCUUGGCCAGUGGCUGAACCCGGAGAAAGAUAUCUACUCGACUGUAAUUUACUUGAUCAGCGAUGGUUCAUGUUUCAUGACAGGUACCACUGUGAUGGUGGAUGGAGCACAGUCUCUUACGAGACCACGUCUCAAAUCCUACAUGUGAUUUGGUUUUUAUAAAGCUGCUUAUGAUUGUAUUAUUACUUUCUUGAAAAUUUAAUGGAUCAAAGCUUGAAUAAGUACAAUGGUUUUAAUAAAAAGAUGCGUUUGACUAA